CUCCUGGAACGGGUGGUAAUGCCGGAUGUUCCAGUUGAUCGCAUGGUCUUCUGGGAAGCUUUCGCGGUAUGGGAUGGGGUCGCGUCCUAUCAGCUUGACGGCGGGGUAACGGCCCACCGUGGCUUCGACGGGUAGCCGGCCUGAGAGGGCGACCGGCCACAUUGGGACUGAGAUACGGCCCAGACUCCUACGGGAGGCAGCAGUGGGGAAUAUUGCACAAUGGGCGCAAGCCUGAUGCAGCGACGCCGCGUGAGGGAUGGAGGCCUUCGGGUUGUAAACCUCUUUUAUCGGGGAGCAAGCGUGAGUGAGUUUACCCGUUGAAUAAGCACCGGCUAACUACGUGCCAGCAGCCGCGGUAAUACGUAGGGUGCAAGCGUUAUCCGGAAUUAUUGGGCGUAAAGGGCUCGUAGGCGGUUCGUCGCGUCCGGUGUGAAAGUCCAUCGCUUAACGGUGGAUCCGCGCCGGGUACGGGCGGGCUUGAGUGCGGUAGGGGAGACUGGAAUUCCCGGUGUAACGGUGGAAUGUGUAGAUAUCGGGAAGAACACC
rnacentral:rRNA from 1 species